GUGUCAUAGAGGAGGGGCCACUCUGUGUGUGAGUUUGUGUGUCAGUCCUUCAUGUCAGCAUUCAUCAGUUCGUUUGUCACUGGCAGAAACUUUGAUGGCAGCAGCACAGUUGACCAUGAGUGGUGUCACAACUGCCAAAGGCUUAGUUAUGAUUUUGACUCUGCUGUGUGUGCUCCAUCUUUCAAGUGCACUGAUAAACAAGGACGAACUGGAGGAGCUGAAGGGAAACAUUGAAACAUUACAAAAGGAAACAGCGAGAAGGAAGG